ensembl:rRNA 5S_rRNA 5S ribosomal RNA
UUUGGCAGCCAUAUCACCCUGUAGCCCAAGACUGAUCGCCCACUGAAGCUAAGCAGGGUUGAGUACCUGGAUGGGAGACCUCCUGGGAAAACUAGGUUGCUGCUGGAA